GAGCGACCUGGAAAAAUGAUUGUAUUAUUGUAUUAUACGGUACAGACGAUAUUAAUACGGUUAUACCGCGAUGGUAUAUUCUUCUUUCUUUUGUUUCGCGGUUAAAAGGCCUCUCAGGACCGUGCCGUUUCACAGCCAAUCCUUCCCUAUAUCCCGCAAUGCUCUUUCCUACCGAUUCGCGCCUCCACAGCUAUUGUAUAGUGAUUCCGCGUCCUUUUUAAAACCAAUAUUCUUCCCGUCUUGUU